rnacentral:rRNA from 1 species
CACGUAGGCGGACCGACAAGUCGGGGGUGAAAUCCCGGGGCUCAACCCCGGAACUGCCUCCGAAACUGUCGGUCUGGAGGUCGAGAGAGGCGAGUGGAAUUCCGAGUGUAGAGGUGAAAUUCGUAGAUAUUCGGAGGAACACCAGUGGCGAAGGCGGCUCGCUGGCUCGAUACUGACGCUGAGGUGCGAAAGCGUGGGGAAGCAAACA